UCUGAGCAUAAAGAAUUUCUUCUUAGAGAAAGAACUUGGAAGAACACAGGCUCCAGGGCCAAAGCAUCUACAGGUGGAUUGUCUACAAAGGGAAGAGCUUAUCUGAAAUUUGAGCUGCAAUCAAAAAUAAAGAUAUAUACCCAGGAGCGGAAUUGCUGGGUCAUGCUUUUGGUUUUGGUUUUGGUUCUUAGAGGAUUCUUGUGUGAGAGAAGAGGUUAGACUGGAGGCUUCCAUAGCUCUUCCACUGACGGAUUAGUUUAAAUUUAUCCCAUCAGGCAUCAGCAUUACCAUCUAACAUGAGGUCACUUCUCCAGAUGAAGGAGAGGUUGAAGUGUCACACCCAGCAUGAUCAGUUAGAUGAUGGAGAAAAGAGGCAUUUGCUACCUGACCUUAAUCUCCUGGGCAAGAAUGACUGAAUGGGGAAGGCCGAAUACAGAGAGACUCAAAGGUGGAGGAAAUCAGCAGAGUAUCAUUUAAAGAGACACAAAGCAGUAUGAAUGUUGACUCAUGACAAAAUGGACAUCCUCAGGAAUCCAUUUUGUUGUUUGUAUUUGUGGAGUUCAAUUGUGAGACAUCAAUUUAUCGUACCUGUGGAAAACUAGCAGAAGGUCCAGAGGAAAGCCAUGGAAAUGAUGAAGAACUAGGAAAAUGGAAUUCAACCAUGUAUCCUGGAGAGGUCUCUUGCUCUGGAGGUAACCAGACAUCAUGACAUGAAGAUGCACAAGCAGUCCCUGAGGAGAGGAAGUGAGGACUCUCACCAGCAGCCAGCACCAUGUAUGUGAACCAGGGGUGAAUGGGAUCCUCCAGCCGCAGCCAACCUCCAGGUGACUGCAGCGUUUGACUAUGACCUCAGGAGCAGAGGCCUCUUAAUGACCCAUCCAGAGGUCAGUGGUUCAAGGACUAUCUGUCUGUCAUGGACCAACACCUGGCAGAGAAAGCCCAGUAAUGGAGAAGGUGGAGC